rnacentral:lncRNA from 1 species
AUGGGAGACCCGGGAGGCCGGUCACAGACCCGGGGUAACACUUUAUGGGAUCAGCCCCAAAGGCAAUUCCCGAAUCCCCUAACCCAGCUAUGUAGGGCCAGGGAAAAAGGAGAGAGGUCGGCGGGAGCCGCCGCUCCGGCCCGCAGCCCCCCACCCAGGGAACCCCCGCUGUCCCCGCGCCCCAGGCUGCCGGGCGCCCGCCCCGCGCCGCCCCGGGCCGCUCGCGGGCCUAGGCGCCGCUCCCGCACCCACCUCGCCUCCAGCAGCAGCGGGGUCGCGGGCCAUUUCGCAGACAAACUGGCCGUCACCGCCUUGGAGGAGGAGGCGGGGAAAGGAGGGGAUGGAGCUGAGAGGAGGCGAGGAAAAAGGAGGACCGGCGGUCGGGACCCCGACAUAAGCCCAAAACUACCGCCCUCGCGACGCCCCGCCCCUAGCGACCUCCCAUUUCCGGUUGGGGGAGGGGAGAGGUGGGAUGGAUGGAAUCCGUUAUCCAGGGUUCGGCUGAGGCGGCUGCAGGAAGGUGGCGCAUGCGUAAUAUGUGUGCCACGGCCCGGGUUGGGAUGAGCCUCAAAUGGGAUGCGGAUCAUCUCCAAUGCAGGGACGUUGCUCCCUUUCCAUUUGGAGACAGGACUUACCACCGCCAUAUGGAGCAGUGCUCCAAGAUCAAGGUCUUAAUGCCAAUGAUAACUAUUUCCAAUUUUUCGUAUCUAUAGCUAUGUAUAUACAUAUAUGCACACAUAUACACAAUAUAUAUAUAUAUACCCAUAUAUGUAUACACAUAUACAACAUAUGUACACAUACAUUGUUUCUCCCAUUAAAUUGUUAUGUCCUUAACGGGACUGUUUUCAUCCUUCUCUGUACUCACAGUGCUUACCAGGGUUCCUGGCAUGUUGUAAUGCUUCUUUCUUUAUCAUAUUUCAUAAUCUGCUUUAAAAGGGAUCCAAAUUUCACUUUAUCUGACCAGUAAGCGGGAUUUAGCAUUUCCUUUAAUUAUUUCAAAACAUUAUUCUGAGAAGAACAGAGACUUUAUCAAAUUACCAAAGAGGGUUAAUGACACAAAAUAAUCCCCUAGAAGUCCACUUUCUUUUCGCCGCUGAUGGGCAAGUCGAGUCCCAUAGGAUGAUGACUUGCCCAAAGGCUACCUCCCUUGUGUGCUCUUGAUAACCUUAACAGGGACCAUUUGUUACUAUGGUGAGUUUCUUUCCAUGGUUUAUGAUGGAUAUCUAAAGUCAAUUCUGAAUGCAGUUUAAGUAGAGUGGAUUCCUUGUCCUGAACAUUAUCCUGUAGGACAGCAGAUUCUGAUUGGCUGGUUUGGGAGGCAUUUCCAAAGGAAGAAGAAAAAGCCCCAGAGAGUGAAGAAAAAAAUAGUAUGUGGGGUGCAUGGGAGCUAGGGAGGAAUGAAAAGAGGUUAUAUGAAUACUAAUAAAUGAAUCAUAAGAGUCUUAGAGGUGGAAUAG